rnacentral:lncRNA from 1 species
GGACAAUCUGCAUACCAAUCGACUCAUCUGUGCACACAGGCUGAGAACAAUGCAGGGAGAGAUGCGGAAAGGCCUGUGCUGCGAUGACAAUGCUUCCAGUGUGCUGACCUCGUCAGCGAAGCAAACAAAAGUACAGUCUCUUUGGAGGAGACAUUAAUGAGUCAUUAAGAACGGGUACAGCUGCGUGGUGCAAGCACUUCGUUAAAAAUAUUCUUCUCAUUUUGUGUCUGUCCCGUAAUUAUAAUGGAAGUAUUGUGCAAGUCAGCCAGUCAGCGCAUGCAGAAAAAUAUUUAUGUUUUACAAUAUCUGCACGGUUUUUAAAGUGCAUUGUCAAGUGUGGCUGCUGUACCGCGUUUUGCCUGUUGUCGCCUCUUACUGACAGCCUCAGCUUUAAAACGCCCUGCACCCGCGUUAUGACAGUCACCGCUCUGUCUCCGUACGUGCCUGGUGCACAUCCCGGCCACCAGGGAAGGCGCACUGUGGAGCUCUGCCGUCUGCCCUGCUGAAUUUGGGGAAAACAAGGCUGUACGCUCCUCCAUCGCGAGGCCAUGGCUCCUGCUCCCUCCUCUCCUCAUGGUCAGGCCAGCCCGUGGGGCCCACGGCCACAGUGCCCACCCAGGCAGGAGACCCCAGAGCAGAGUAAGGAAACCCAAUGUGCCUUUGAGAGAACCGUUUAGAAACUGCCCUCAACUGUCUUUAAAGCUGGAGAAGUCCCUGAAGGUCACCCAAGGUGCUCACUGUGGGGACGAGGAGAGUGGAUCUGGGGAGGGGAGAGGCCGGCUCGGGGCUGCAUCAGGGGCCCCCAUUUAAUCCACGUGCAUGGAGCAGUUCCUGAGGAUGCUGGGGGCAGGACCACCAUCAACAGGAGCGAGCGGCUGGAGGGACGGGAGGCAGCAUUGGGGACCACACGUCCCCCAUCUGUUACAGACCCACGGGCGCUUCCAGCCCCCAAAGGACGCUGUCCUUGGUAAGUGUCUCAAAACUAAGUUUCCUUAAGAAAAGAAGUUGGGAAUGUGAGCUUCUUUCAUGACAUCGUCAGGCUCCAGGGACUGCCUGCCUUCUCACCCAGACGGAGGCAGGACUGCCCCCAGUUAGCUCUGGGCUGGUACGGGCAGGAUGGAACGCACCACCGGGCUGGGCCAGCAUCUUCGUGUCCUGCUCCCAGGAGACCCCACAUCUGUGGGUGACUCUUCAGGGCCUGCUGGUCCAACCGAGGCAGCUGGGGUGGCGCACCCUGUCAGGCCUCUUCCUUGAGCUUCCGUCCUCGGUGACCUCUGAGGAAGGUGGAAGGCGGAGGGGGAGCAGGUGGUCUGAGCAGGCAGCUUCCUGGCAGGAAGGGGGGCUGUGGAGGCCCCACCCCCUUUCUGGCACCUUCUGCCCACUCUGCCAGCGAGUCACAUCCCGGAAGGCCGUCCCUGGCCACUGUCUCAUCAUUCCUCAACGCGGACGUGGUCAGGACAAGGUGAUGGAGCCCAGGCAUUCGGACUCUGCUCGGGUGGGACUGGAGCCAGCGCCCGUGAAAGGACCCUCUGACACCGGGAAGGGUUCGGAUGCAGCCGGGCAUUAGCGGAUGGACAGGCUUCUGUUCACUUUGUUAGUGUUUCAACGACAUUGUAGGAUGUAAAAGGAAAACGCCCUUAUCUGUUAGCAAGAAAACGUUUACAGAAAUAGUGAGGCAUCUUGGACGGUGCUAGAAUGCUCGCAAGCACAGCAGAAGGGCGUUUGUGGAGAAAAACAAGACGGUGAAACGACCGGAAUUGAAACUGGGCGAUGGAGGGUGUACCCAAUUCCGCUGCUUUUGGGUCAGUUAGAAAUUCCCACAAUAAGACAUGAAGAAAAAAAUGUACACCACUCUCCCAUGGAGUCCUGGAUCUUGAAAAGGGCUUUAAAGAUAGAAGAACUUUUCAACUUAUCCCAUUUCCCACGGGGGAAACGCUCAAUUUGGGGAGGCCAGGAAGGCGCGGGCCAGGGGGAGCAGGAGGCAGGGCCGCCUGGCUCACCGGAGGCACAGGUGCUCUACCUGCCAUGACCCCGCGGUGACGUACCUGUCAACACUCUGAAGGGCUGGAGCUCAGCUUCCUGCCAGCAGUACAGCAGCAGGGCCAAGAGCGCCAGCAUUCCUCUACUUGCUGCCAUGCUCCCUCCCGCUGAAGGAGGGAGAGGAGGACCUCCUCCUGAAGGCCCCUCUGCUACCCGCCUCUGUCUCCAGGAUACUGUGGAAUGUCAGGGACCUGUGACCUCACGGCAGGAAGUGAGGGUCCUGCCCUCAGUGGGGAGAAUGGUGCCCAGGGUCUCUGACUGGGAAGGCUGGCUAGGGGGAUCCCCUCCACUUGCUCCCAUGGCCCGUUCACGUGCUUUCCUCGUCCUGCAGACCCUGAGGCCUGAAGGGGUAGGACGUUAAUCAGGACUCUGUGGAGUGGCAGAACCCAACAAAAUCUGCUCACAGGAAAAGAGAUGUAUUGGAAGGAGGCUGGAGAGCUCACUGUGUGACACGUUUGUCCUCACGUGGAGCCCCAGGAGAGGAUGGUCCUGUGUCAUCUGGAAUUCAGCAACAUUCGGAAGACAGAACCAGAGCCAGGACAAGCGUUCCUGAGAAAACAACCCCGGUCCUACUCGUCUUGCAGGACCAGCUCAUGUGCGUGUCUUCUGUGAAGACUUCGUGAGCUCUUUGGCCAAAAGUGAUGGUUCUAUUCCCUAUUCGUUAAAAAGAACGAAACUA